rnacentral:rRNA from 1 species
UACAGAGGGUGCAAGCGUUAAUCGGAUUUACUGGGCGUAAAGCGUGUGUAGGAGGUUUGUUAAGUCAAUUGUGAAAUCCCCGGGCUCAACCUGGGAAUUGCAGUCGAUACUGGCAGACUAGAGUACGGUAGAGGGUGGCGGAAUUUCCGGUGUAGCGGUGAAAUGCGUAGAUAUCGGAAGGAACAUCAAUGGCGAAGGCAGCCACCUGGGCCUGUACUGACUCUGAGACACGAAAGCGUGGGGAUCAAACAGG